CACAUGCAAGUCGAACGAGCGAGAGAGAGCUUGCUUUCUCGAGCGAGUGGCGAACGGGUGAGUAACGCGUGAGGAACCUGCCUCAAAGAGGGGGACAACAGUUGGAAACGACUGCUAAUACCGCAUAAGCCCACGACCCGGCAUCGGGUAGAGGGAAAAGGAGCAAUCCGCUUUGAGAUGGCCUCGCGUCCGAUUAGCUAGUUGGUGAGGUAAUGGCCCACCAAGGCGACGAUCGGUAGCCGGACUGAGAGGUUGAACGGCCACAUUGGGACUGAGACACGGCCCAGACUCCUACGGGAGGCAGCAGUGGGGAAUAUUGCACAAUGGGGGAAACCCUGAUGCAGCGACGCCGCGUGGAGGAAGAAGGUCUUCGGAUUGUAAACUCCUGUUGUUGAGGAAGAUAAUGACGGUACUCAACAAGGAAGUGACGGCUAACUACGUGCCAGCAGCCGCGGUAAAACGUAGGUCACAAGCGUUGUCCGGAAUUACUGGGUGUAAAGGGAGCGCAGGCGGGAAGACAAGUUGGAAGUGAAAUCCAUGGGCUCAACCCAUGAACUGCUUUCAAAACUGUUUUUCUUGAGUAGUGCAGAGGUAGGCGGAAUUCCCGGUGUAGCGGUGGAAUGCGUAGAUAUCGGGAGGAACACCAGUGGCGAAGGCGGCCUACUGGGCACCAACUGACGCUGAGGCUCGAAAGUGUGGGUAGCAAACAGGAUUAGAUACCCUGGUAGUCCACACUGUAAACGAUGAUUACUAGGUGUUGGAGGAUUGACCCCUUCAGUGCCGCAGUUAACACAAUAAGUAAUCCACCUGGGGAGUACGACCGCAAGGUUGAAACUCAAAGGAAUUGACGGGGGCCCGCACAAGCAGUGGAGUAUGUGGUUUAAUUCGACGCAACGCGAAGAACCUUACC
rnacentral:rRNA from 1 species